GUUGAGGAUUGAGGGUGUUGAAGGUAGAGAUUUGUUGAGGGUUGGGAGAGUGUUGGGUUUUGAGUGUUGAUAGAGGUUGCCAUUGGGUUUUUCUUUUGUAUUUAGGUGGGAAGACAACCAAGGAGAGUUUCAAAUUUUACAUAAAUCGACUCUAAUAAAGUUGGCAUGUCUCCAUCAAGCUGAUAGAUUCCCACGCUAACUUACCGUAUGGAUACAUAAAGUGUCAGUAUUCUAAUUCUUCGAUGCCUCUUUUCAUGGCAUGGCAGAGUGGUGGGCAUGGCAAAGAGAUUCUCAACUAGUUUUUUAUUGUUUGCCAACACUAAUAAGGUGCCUAGGUGCCAAAACCUAUACUAUCGGUUGUGUUCUUUGCUUAUCCGUUGUGCCUGUAGA
rnacentral:misc_RNA from 1 species